UGCCUGUUGCCACAGCCCACAAGACGCAAGUUGAGGAUCACACACCGCUCGCUUUCUCUGUCUCUAUGCUAACGACUCCAUUAUUGAUUAUUGAGAAGUCAGUUAUAUAAAUGGAGGCUAAUGAGGCUUCUUGUGAGAUCAAUUCGUCUAUAUCGAGAAAACAAUCAAAAAGAAGCACUUCAAUUGUUUGGAAUACUUUUAUGAAAUUGCCUCGUACUAGAGACAGUGAAAGGUUAAAAGCACAAUGUCAGUGAAGGCUUGUUUGGAAAUAGAAGAUGAAGCUGUUGAAAAAGUAAGAGAAGGUGUUAAGAAUGUCAAACAUUCGGAAGGGAGAAUAUUGAAAUUUGUGGAAUGCAUUAAGAAUCAUGGGUUGUUGUGUUCAAAGAAGCUUCGCCAAGAUGUAACUACUCAUUAGAAUUCCACUUACCAGAUGCUUGAUAGCGCUCUCCUCUACCAACAAGCUUAUAUUCAAUAUAAAUCCUUGAUAUGGAUUUUAAAUAUAGUCUUUCCGAGGAGGAAUGGAAAAGGGUAGAGAGUAUUACUAAAUUCUUGAAGCCAUUUUAUGAGAUCACUACACUAUUUUACAAAAGCAAAUAUCCAACUGCAAAUUUGUAUUUACCGAAUGAAGUGCUUCUUUUUGAUUGAGUUAUGAAUGAUAUGAAGCACAAUUGGAUUUGUACUUGAAGGAGCCAAAACUUGAUCGUAAAGUGAAUCCAAAUUUGGAUGUACUUGCAUGUUAGAAGGAAAAUAGAGGAAGAUAUCUAGAAUUCUCAUUGAUGGCAUGAGAUAUCUUGAGCAUACCUAUUACCAUGGUAGCUUCAGAAUCUACCUUUAGCAUUGGAGGUCGUAUUAUUAGAAAGUUUCAAAGUUCUCUUUUACCUGCAAAUGCUGAAGCAAAGUUGUGUGCUAAAUAUUGGCUAUGAGGACAAGAAGAUUGUGAUGGAUCAGACACCCAUGAGGAUGAAAUUGCAGUGGAACUUCAGUCAUAUCUUGCUAAACUUGGCUCACAUUGAUAGAGAGGAAUGGAAUCACGGAUGCUUUGAUGGAAUCCUUCAUCCACUGGCAGUGAAGACGAUGCUGAAGGAUGCUGAGGAUUGUGAGUUCAUCUUGAUGCUUGCAGUGGCAGUGAAGAUUGCUCCAUAAAGAAGCCACUUGCUUAACUUCAUCUUAAUGCUGAAGAUUCCUAACAUUCUAUUGCACUGAUGGUUGCUGCACUGUCGAGAUUGAUCAAAAAUGUUAUAUUUUUUAUUUAGUCUCUUGUUUUUGAAAAGAUGACAUUCUUGCAAUUUUUGACAUGAUGAUAAAAUUUGUGAGUUCGAUUAAUAGGAACAACAUACUAUGUGUUAUAUUAGCAAUAUAUAUGAACCUAGCUAAUUGAUGGUGCGUCAAGAAUAUAAUUCGAUGUUUAAUUAAUAUUUUAUA